AACGAACGCUGGCGGCAUGCCUAACACAUGCAAGUCGAACGAGACCUUCGGGUCUAGUGGCGCACGGGUGCGUAACGCGUGGGAACCUGCCCUUAGGUUCGGAAUAACUCCCCGAAAGGGGUGCUAAUACCGGAUAAUGUCUUCGGACCAAAGAUUUAUCGCCUUUGGAUGGGCCCGCGUUGGAUUAGCUAGUUGGUAGGGUAAAAGCCUACCAAGGCGACGAUCCAUAGCUGGUCUGAGAGGAUGAUCAGCCACACUGGGACUGAGACACGGCCCAGACUCCUACGGGAGGCAGCAGUGGGGAAUAUUGGACAAUGGGCGAAAGCCUGAUCCAGCAAUGCCGCGUGAGUGAUGAAGGCCUUAGGGUUGUAAAGCUCUUUUAACCGGGAUGAUAAUGACAGUACCGGGAGAAUAAGCGCCGGUUAACUCCGUG
rnacentral:rRNA from 1 species